rnacentral:tRNA from 1 species
GAGGGUAGAGCUCACUGGUGGAGUGCACGCUUUGCAAGCACGAGGUCCUGGGUUCAAUCCCCAGUAUCUCUC